rnacentral:rRNA from 1 species
UACGGAGGGGGCUAGCGUUGUUCGGAAUUACUGGGCGUAAAGAGCGUGUAGGCGGCCAAGCAGGUCUGUUGUGAAAACUGGAGGCUCAACCUCCAGACGUCGACAGAAACCGCUUGGCUAGAGUACGGAAGAGGCGAGUGGAAUUCCCGGUGUAGCGGUGAAAUGCGCAGAUAUCAGGAGGAACACCGGUGGCGAAGGCGGUUCUCUGGGCAUUACCUGACGCUGAGGAGCGAAAGUGUGGGGAGCGAACAGG